rnacentral:rRNA from 1 species
UACAGAGGUCUCAAGCGUUGUUCGGAUUCAUUGGGCGUAAAGGGUGCGUAGGCGGCGCGGUAAGUCGGGUGUGAAAUCUCGGAGCUUAACUCCGGAACUGCAUUCGAUACUGCCGUGCUUGAGGACUGGAGAGGAGACUGGAAUUUACGGUGUAGCGGUGAAAUGCGUAGAUAUCGUAAGGAAGACCAGUGGCGAAGGCGGGUCUCUGGACAGUUCCUGACGCUGAGGCACGAAGGUCAGGGGGAGCAAACGGG